rnacentral:rRNA from 1 species
UAAAGCGCGCGUAGGUGGUUUGUUAAGUUGGAUGUGAAAUCCCCGGGCUCAACCUGGGAACUGCAUUCAAAACUGACAGACUAGAGUAUGGUAGAGGGUGGUGGAAUUUCCUGUGUAGCGGUGAAAUGCGUAGAUAUAGGAAGGAACACCAGUGGCGAAGGCGACCACCUGGACUGAUACUGACACUGAGGUGCGAAAGCGUGGGGAGCAAACAGGAUUAGAUACCCAGU